AACGCAUCUUGCACUCCUCGGUAUUCCUUGGAGUAUGUCUGUUUCAGUAUCAUUAAUACCUAUCGAACUCUUUGGGUUUUCAAUCUGAAGAGAAUCGAAAUUGGGCUUUGUAAAUUUUACUAGCCUUAAAUUCAGUCGUGGCCGCAUCUUUAAAAAGAUACUGGCGUCAUAGUUGGCUCUUUCGAGUUCAUCUUUCGCUUUGUUUUCUUCUAAAGUUGCUUAAGACUACGUAAAUUUUUUUUUUUCAAUACUUGAUCUGAAAUCAGGCAGGACUACCCGCUGAACUUAA
rnacentral:misc_RNA from 1 species